GCUUGUUUUAAUUCAGCCUAUCCAACCAACGUGUUUAACCAACGUGUUUAACCAACGUGUUUCACCAACGUGUUAAACCAACAUGUUUAACCAACGUGUUUAACUAACCAAUCAAUCAAUGCAUGUUUCCGUUUCAUGUGUUUCAUACGGGAUCCAAGGUUUUUUUUCGCUUGUUUUAAUUGAGCCUAUCCAACCAACGUGUUUAACCAACCAACAAACCAAUCAAUCAAUGCAUGUUUCCGUUUCAUGUGUUUCAUACGGGAUCCAAGGUUUUUUUUCCGCUUGUUUUAAUUCAGCCUAUCCAACCAACGUGUUUAACCAACGUGUUUAACCAACGUGUUAAACCAACGUGUUUAACCAACGUGUUUAACUAACCAACCAACGUGUUUAACCAACCAACAAACCAAUCAAUCAAUGCAUGUUUCCGUUUCAUGUGUUUCAUACGGGAUCCAAGGUUUUUUUUCCCGCUUGUUUUAAUUCAGCCUAUCCAACCAACGUGUUUAACCAACGUGUAUAACCAACGUGUUUAACCAACGUGUUUAACUAACCAACCAACGUGUUUAACCAACCAAUCAAUCAAUGCAUGUUUCCGUUUCAUGUGUUUCAUAAGGGAUCCAAGGUUUUUUUUCCGCUUGUUUUAAUUGAGCCUAUCCAACCAACGUGUUUAACCAACGUGUUUAACCAACGUGUUAAACCAACAUGUUUAACCAACGUGUUUAACUAACCAACCAACGUGUUUAACCAACUAACCAAUCAAUCCAAUGCAUGUUUCCGUUUCAUGUGUUUCAUACGGGAUCCAAGGUGUUUUUUUUCGCUUGUUUUAAUUAAGCCAAUCCAACCA
rnacentral:lncRNA from 1 species